UAUUAGGAUAUUGGCACUAAUCAUCAUCAUUUCUACAUAUCAUCCAAAUCUUCAAGUUCUAGAAGUGACUAAUCCAUCUUACAUGUGAUAUGCAUGUCCACAUACCCGAAUGGGCGGUGUAAAUUAAUCAAGUUAUCUGAAGUAAGAUGAGUACGUUGCUUUUGUGACAAUCUCUUUACAUAUCCUAUGCAACCCUUAUUUUUUCUCUUUCCCUCUAAUCGAGGCUCAAAACCCAUCUCUCCCUUCUCUUCUUCUUUUUCCUCUUCCUCUCCUUUCUUAGGCUCACGAAUGAUUUGAAUGAGUUUGGGCUGAACUAUGGGUAAAAGGCAACCUCUUCAAUCUCAAAAAACAAGCUAGGCCGACAAGGCCCAACUCCUAAGUCCACCUCCCUUCUUUUUCUUCCCUUUUUUUAAUAGGCCCAUUAUAACAUAAUCCAUACCCAUCUCCCUCAUUCUUCCUCUCCCCAUAGGGGGGUUUAGAGAAAACCCAACACCACCACAUUCUUCCUCCUCCCCUCUACUUGCGUUGUUACCUUUGGUAGCAAGAUGGGCGCUUCUGCCCAAAGCAGCCGCUUUGCAUGUCUGAAGUAAAACGAGAGAGAGGUGGGAGAUGCAGUGGUGGGCAUUGCGUCUGUUGCUAUUCCCAUGACAAACAACAAUGGGAGAGACAUCCUGCAUUGGAGGUUUGGCAUAAGACUUCUGCAACAAUCUCAACACAAGUCUAAGUGUGAAGUUGGAGCGUUGGGUGGAAUGGAUGAAUCCAGCAACUACUAACUCAGUUUCUUCCAUCCCAAUUAGAAUAUCCAAUCAUGAGAAAAUUGCCAUGCAUGUGCCAAACAAGUAGAUGGAAGGACUUGAAGAUCUUGUGCCUUGGGUAUUUUGUUUGAGAUGGACCAUCACCAAAAGAAGAUAUGACAGUUACUUACAUGAGAGACUAGC